GCCGGGUUGGCCGAGUGGUCAAGGCGGCGGGCUGCAGACCCGCUAUUACGGGGGUUCGAAUCCCCCACCCGGCU
rnacentral:tRNA from 3 species